CAACCUCUGGCAAAAACUGUGAAUGUUG
rnacentral:ncRNA from 1 species